rnacentral:lncRNA from 1 species
AGCAGUAAACAGUCCUCUGCGAAGCCGCCUUUUUGCCUACCCAACCCUGGAAAGUUUGCAGAAGUGGAAGGAGCAGAACUUGCCAUGAGUGUAACUUACAAAAAGCUUGAUCUUCUAGACUCCAUGGCACCGGGUUGAGCGGGGCGAGAAGAGGGGCUCCGCAGCGACCCUCGGGGGUCCAUGGAGCCAGCCGCCUGCCUUCGCCCCCCUCGCUCGUCCCAGGUCUGAGCCUGGAUGAGAAGAAACUGAAGUGCUUUGGAGACAGGGCUCAAAAGACGAGGGAGCCUCCUCGCCCAGCCUUGGACCCUCUUUCCCUUUCGAUCGUGAGGGUUCCGCACCCCGAAGCCGGCUUGUUGGGGCUCCGGGGCGCGCCUGCGCUGGCAACGCGAAGGAGGACAAAAGGCCGGCGUCCAUGUUGGCACCAUGACGCAGCAUCUCCGCCCGCAGCCCCGCGCUCCAGUCCUCCCGGCCGCGCUCGCUCCUCCUCCCAAACACCACUUUUAUUUCCAGGCUUCGAGCCCUUCGCGCCUGGGCUGGGCCGGGCUGGGCUGGACUGUGCUGGUCGGGCGGGC